CACGUAGGGGGCGAGCGUUGUCCGGAUUUAUUGGGCGUAAAGAGCUCGUAGGCGGCUUGGCAAGUCGGGUGUGAAACCUCCAGGCUCAACCUGGAGACGCCACUCGAUACUGCUAUGGCUAGAGUCCGGUAGGGGACCACGGAAUUCCUGGUGUAGCGGUGAAAUGCGCAGAUAUCAGGAGGAACACCGGUGGCGAAGGCGGUGGCCUGGGCCGGCACUGACGCUGAGGAGCGAAAGCGUGGGUAGCAAACAGG
rnacentral:rRNA from 1 species